UGAGUAACACGUGGGUAACCUGCCUGCAAAGACUGGGAUAACUCCGGGAAACCGGGGCUAAUACCGGAUGCUUGAUUGAACCGCAUGGUUCAAUCAUAAAAGGUGGCUUUUAGCUACCACUUACAGAUGGACCCGCGGCGCAUUAGCUAGUUGGUGAGGUAACGGCUCACCAAGGCGACGAUGCGUAGCCGACCUGAGAGGGUGAUCGGCCACACUGGGACUGAGACACGGCCCAGACUCCUACGGGAGGCAGCAGUAGGGAAUCUUCCGCAAUGGACGAAAGUCUGACGGAGCAACGCCGCGUGAGUGAUGAAGGUUUUCGGAUCGUAAAACUCUGUUGUUAGGGAAGAACAAGUACCGUUCGAAUAGGGCGGCACCUUGACGGUACCUAACCAGAAAGCCACGGCUAACUACGUGCCAGCAGCCGCGGUAAUACGUAGGUGGCAAGCGUUGUCCGGAAUUAUUGGGCGUAAAGCGCGCGCAGGCGGUUUCUUAAGUCUGAUGUGAAAGCCCCCGGCUCAACCGGGGAGGGUCAUUGGAAAACUGGGG
rnacentral:rRNA from 1 species